rnacentral:rRNA from 1 species
UACGUAGGGCGCAAGCGUUGUCCGGAAUUAUUGGGCGUAAAGAGCUCGUAGGCGGUCUGUUGCGUCCGCUGUGAAAACCCAGGGCUUAACCCUGGGCUGGCAGUGGAUACGGACAGACUAGAGGUAGGUAGGGGAGAAUGGAAUUCCCGGUGUAGCGGUGAAAUGCGCAGAUAUCGGGAGGAACACCCGUAGCGAAGGCGGCACUCUGGGCCGGUACUGACGCUGAGGCGCGAAAGCCAGGGGAGCAAACGGG